GACAGAGGGUGCAAACGUUGUUCGGAAUUACUGGGCGUAAAGCGCGUGUAGGCGGCCAUCUAAGUCGGGCGUGAAAUCCCACGGCUCAACCGUGGAAGUGCACUCGAAACUGGAUGGCUAGAGUCCUGGAGAGGAAGGUGGAAUGCUUGGUGUAGAGGUGAAAUUCGUAGAUAUUCGGAAGAACACCAGUGGCGAAGGCGGCUCACUGGACCGUAGUUGACGCUGAGGUGCGAAAGCGUGGGGAGCAAACAGG
rnacentral:rRNA from 1 species